rnacentral:misc_RNA from 1 species
AACUGAUACUACCUGCGGGAACCUGCGGAGGGAUCAUUAAAGAGAGAGGGGGCUUCGGCCCUCAAACCUCCCAACCCAUUGUGAACGAUACCUUUAGUUGCUUUGGCGGGGCGAGGUCGCAAGGCCCCGUCGGCCCUUAAUCGGGCUGGCGUGUCCCCGCCGAAGGAUCUCAAAAUUCUUGCUUUUGAAAACCCAUUUUUAGUCUGAACAUAUUGAAAUUAAUAGCGAUAAAACUUUCAA